rnacentral:rRNA from 1 species
GAUGAACGCUGGCGGCGUGCCUAACACAUGCAAGUCGAACGAAACUUCUUUAUGACCGUGUGCUUGCACUGACCGAUAAGGGGUUGAGUGGCGAACGGAUGAGGAACUCGUGGUCAGCAUGCCCUAAAGAGGGGGAUAACACUAGGAGACAGGAGCUAAUACCGCAUAAACAUAGUUACCGCAUGGUAACUAUGUGGAAUGUGGCUGCAGUACCGCUUUUGGAUGGGCGCGCGGCGUAUUAGCUAGUUGGUAGGGUAAAGGCUUACUGAGGCGAGGAUGCGUAGCCGAAGUGAGAGGUUGAUCGGCCACAUUGGGACUGAGACACGGCCCAUACUCCUACGGGAGGCAGCAGUCGGGAAUCUUCCACAAUGGGCGAAAGCCUGAUGGAGCAACGCCGCGUGGGUGAAGAAGGCCUUCGGGUCGUAAAGCCCUCUUGUUGGUGAAGAAAGGGCGUGGGAUUAACCGAUCCCGUUUUGACGGUAUCGAAUCAAAAAGCCCCGGCUAACUACGUG